GGUGGUUUUUCUGAAUUUGAGUCCAGUAAUUCUGAUGUUACAUUUCCUGUAGCCUGCUGUACAGCCCAGAGUUCACGUAAGGAUGUCCUGGUUUUCCUGAUGAGGAUGGAUUUGUACUGUCUUUUAAAGAAGCCAGCCUGAAAAUAGCAUUGCAUAGUCACUAGUGUAUAGUUAGGAACAUAUUAUACAUCGAAUUGUAGUCAGCAAAAAUAUA